AUUGAACGCUGGCGGCAUGCCCUACACAUGCAAGUCGAACGGCAGCGCGGACUUCGGUCUCGCGGCGAGUGGCGAACGGGUGAGUAAUACAUCGGAACGUACCCUGUUGUGGGGGAUAACUAGUCGAAAGAUUAGCUAAUACCGCAUACGACCUGAGGGUGAAAGUGGGGGACCGCAAGGCCUCACGCAGCAGGAGCGGCCGAUGUCUGAUUAGCUAGUUGGUGGGGUAAAGGCCCACCAAGGGGACGAUCAGUAGCUGGUCUGAGAGGACGAUCAGCCGCACUGGGACUGAGACACGGCCCAGACUCCGACGGGAGGCAGCAGUGGGGAAUUUUGGACAAUGGGGGCAACCCUGAUCCAGCAAUGCCGCGUGUGUGAAGAAGGCCUUCGGGUUGUAAAGCACUUUUGUCCGGAAAGAAAUCGCGCUGGUUACUACCUGGCGUGGAUGACGGUACCGGAAGAAUAAGCACCGGCUAACUACGUGCCAGCAGCCGCAGUAA
rnacentral:rRNA from 1 species